rnacentral:rRNA from 1 species
GUGAGGAAUAUUGCGCAAUGAGCGAAAGCUAGACGCAGCAACGCCGCGUGGGCGAUGAAGGCCUUCGGGUCGUAAAGCCCUUUUCUGGGGGACGAGCAAGGACGGUACCCCGGGAAUAAGUACCGGCUGACUACGUGCCAGCAGCCGCGGUAAAACGUAGGGUGCAAGCGUUAUCCGGAUUCACUGGGUGUAAAGCGCGUGUAGGUGGUCUCGUAAGUUGGACGUGAAAUCUCUUGGCUUAACCGGGAGAGGCCGUUCAAUACUGCGGGACUGGAGGGCAGGAGAGGGAGGUGGAAUUCCCGGUGUAGUGGUGAAAUGCGUAGAUAUCGGGAGGAACACCAGUGGCGAAGGCGGCCUCCUGGCCUGCUCCUGACACUGAGACGCGAAAGCUAGGGGAGCGAACGGGAUUAGAAACCCGAGUAGUCC